rnacentral:rRNA from 1 species
GCGGUAUGCUUAACAACAUGCAAGUCGAACGGCAGCGCGGAGAGCUUGCUCUCUGGCGACGAGUGGCGGACGGGUGAGUAAUGCGUAGGAAUCUGCCUAGUAGUGGGGGACAACUCGGAGAAAUCCGAGCUAAUACCGCAUACGCCCUACGAGGGAAAGCGGGGGCUCUUCGGACCUCGCGCUAUUAGAUGAGCCUACGUUAGAUUAGCUAGUUGGUGGGGUAAAGGCCUACCAAGGCGACGAUCUAUAGCUGGUCUGAGAGGAUGAUCAGCCACACUGGGACUGAGACACGGCCCAGACUCCUACGGGAGGCAGCAGUGGGGAAUAUUGGACAAUGGGCGAAAGCCUGAUCCAGCAAUACCGCGUGUGUGAAGAAGGCCUGAGGGUUGUAAAGCACUUUCAAUUGGGAGGAAAAAGCAUCGGCCAAUACCCGGUGUCUUGACAUUACCUUUAGAAGAAGCACCGGCUAACUCCG